rnacentral:rRNA from 1 species
UACGUAGGGUGCGAGCGUUAAUCGGAAUUACUGGGCGUAAAGCGUGCGCAGGCGGCGCGUUAAGACAGGUGUGAAAGCCCCCGAGCUUAACUUGGGAAUUGCGCUUGUGACUGGCGUGCUGGAGUGUGGCAGAGGGAGGUGGAAUUCCACGUGUGGCAGUGAAAUGCGUAGAGAUGUGGAGGAACACCAGUGGCGAAGGCGGCUUUCUGGUCUGUAACUGACGCUGAGGCGCGAAAGCGUGGGGAGCAAACAGG